rnacentral:rRNA from 1 species
GAUGAACGCUGGCGGCGUGCCUAAUACAUGCAAGUCGAACGAGGUGCUUUUGUAGCAAUACGAGAGUAUCCUAGUGGCGAACGGGUGAGUAACGCGUGGGUGACCUGCCCCAAAGUGUGGGAUAACAGAUCGAAAGAUCUGCUAAUACCUCAUGUGGUUAUCGGGGUUUAGAAAGCGAUAACUAAAGGAGUAAUCCGCUUUGGGAGGGACCUGCGUCCCAUCAGCUAGUUGGCGAGGUAACGGCUCACCAAGGCGACGACGGGUAGGGGACCUGAGAGGGUGGCCCCCCACAAUGGAACUGAAACACGGUCCAUACACCUACGGGUGGCAGCAGUAGGGAAUAUUGCUCAAUGGGCGAAAGCCUGAAGCAGCAACGCCGCGUGUGCGAUG